CGUCGAGCCUGCCGCCCAGGCCCCCGAGCAGCCGCAGGGCCUCCUGUACCGCCCCCUCCUCCUGAUGCCACCGGGCAGUCAGCGAGGACACCUCCCUCCUGGAGAGGCAGAGCUGCUGCUGGAGAUAACGCAGCUUCUCCUGGGCGGGGAAGGAAGGCGGGGUGACACCGUCCAGCCGCUUGCCUCCCACGACCACCCCCACCCGCCAAUCUGCCCAAUGACGCCCCGAGAUUGGAAACCCUCCACCCCCACUCCGGUUCUCCGUGGGGCCAAAUUCCAGCCCCUCCUGUUAGAACAAGUGAAGCUUUUCCAACAUGGUGCUGGGAAAUGAGUAAGAAAUGGGGGCCGGACAGGCAUUCCUGCUCAGAGUCGGACACGAGUCCCUCUCCAAGACCUGAACGCGAGUACGCAUGGAGGAGCUUGAACGUGAACGUUGAAGGGGCGGUGGCGGUGGUUGAUGGGGGGCGGGGGUGGCUGGGCAGGAAGCCCCGCCUGAAGUCUACUUCAAGUACCUCGUGCGUCUGACCUCUUCCCCAACCCUCCCCCCCGCCCCUCACCUCCAGCAGGGCAGAGUUCUGCUUCAGGACGUUGGUUUUUAUUUCAGCGUCUUCCACCGACUGGGUCACCUUCAGGCAGUUCUCCUGGCUGGUGAUGGAGUCUUUGGCACGGACCAAUCCACUGUUGACCCCACUCUGGGGAAGAAUGGGAGAAGGCAGAAAAUGCUUUAGGACUCAUGCGAAGCAAACUGUGGCCCAAGAGGGAUGCAGGUGGCAGGAUCCACUGUCUGCUCUUCCACAUUUUUAGAUGACUUAGCCUGGCACAUGACUGUCCAGGCAAAGACUACAUUUCCCAGGCUCCCUUGCAGCCACACUUGCGACUCUAUAGCUGAACCUCCAGAACACGGAACCUGUAAUGCACUUCAUUUGAAGAGUAAGCCUGCUACGCUUGUUGAGAUUAUUAUGUGAGAGAGAAAUAAAGUAUCUUGCCUAAGCCA